rnacentral:rRNA from 1 species
UACGUAGGUGGCAAGCGUUAUCCGGAUUUACUGGGUGUAAAGGGCGUGUAGGCGGCUCUGCAAGUCAGAAGUGAAAUUCCUGGGCUCAACCCGGGCGCUGCUUCUGAAACUGCAGAACUUGAGUACUGGAGGGGAAAGCGGAAUUCCUAGUGUAGCGGUAAAAUGCGCAGAUAUUAGGAGGAACACCGGUGGCGAAGGCGGCUUUCUGGACAGUAACUGACGCUGAGGCGCGAAAGCGUGGGGAG